rnacentral:rRNA from 1 species
UACGGGGGGUGCGAGCGUUGUCCGGAAUCACUGGGCGUAAAGGGCGCGUAGGUGGUUUGAUAAGGGUGUGGUGAAAGUCCGGGGCUCAACCCCGGAUCUGCCGUGCCGACUGUCAAACUCGAGGACUGUAGAGGCAGACGGAAUUCCGGGUGUAGCGGUGGAAUGCGUAGAGAUCCGGAGGAAGACCGGUGGCGAAGGCGGUCUGCUGGGCAGUUGCUGGACGCUGAGGCGCGACAGGCGUGGGGGAGCAAACAGGG